rnacentral:rRNA from 1 species
GAUGAACGCUGGCGGCGUGCCUAAUACAUGCAAGUCGAGCGAACGGACGAGAAGCUUGCUUCUCUGAUGUUAGCGGCGGACGGGUGAGUAACACGUGGAUAACCUACCUAUAAGACUGGGAUAACUUCGGGAAACCGGAGCUAAUACCGGAUAAUAUUUUGAACCGCAUGGUUCAAAAGUGAAAGACGGUCUUGCUGUCACUUAUAGAUGGAUCCGCGCUGCAUUAGCUAGUUGGUAAGGUAACGACUUACCAAGGCAACGAUGCAUAGCCGACCUGAGAGGGUGAUCGGCCACACUGGAACUGAGACACGGUCCAGACUCCUACGGGAGGCAGCAGUAGGGAAUCUUCCGCAAUGGGCGAAAGCCUGACGGAGCAACGCCGCGUGAGUGAUGAAGGUCCUCGGAUCGUAAAACUCUGUUAUUAGGGAAGAACAUAUGUGUAAGUAACUGUGCACAUCUUGACGGUACCUAAUCAGAAAGCCACGGCUAACUACGUG